CUUGACAAUCGAUUGUGGUUUACAAAUUCAAAAUAUUUCUGACAACGUUUUGAAUAAACCAGAUUGUGUAAUAAAUUCUCAACUAACAGAUCUUGACUUUUAAGAACAAAAAUGAUUGUAAAAAUCUGUUUGGGAUUUUGCAGCUUCAACAAUCGAUUGUUGCAUGAAGACAAUCGAUUGUCAAUUUGAAUUUCAAAAGCAUUUUUGACAACGGUACUACGACAAUCGAUUGUUAGACUAUGACAAUCGAUUGUUGUGAAUUGUAGAAGAUUUUGAAAACACACUGCCUCGUGACAAUCGAUUGUUAUACCAUGACAAUCGAUUGUUUUGCAUUUUGGAAAAUUUUAGUAACUCACUGCCUCAAGACAAUCG
rnacentral:lncRNA from 1 species